GGGGGCGACUGGUUUCGACAUGGUGGGUCUGAGGUGAGGAGCAGGUCGUGGUCUCCUUUCCACGUUAAACAGGGGUACUGUCAAAAUUAAUUGGCAACAAGAACUUUGCUGGGCGUCAGUACGCCCUCGCCGCAUAACAUAAGCCGGCGCGUCAAACUUGGGUGUUUCUCCGCCCCGGGGGCGAUGUCAUUUUAGGAGAAUGCUCUUGCGCACGUAGCCAGUAUGGCGCAAGCUAAGAUUGAACUGACUCGGGAAUGCAACGCACGUUGUUGCGCUGCGCAUUCCUUAAAUCUGAGCAUCAACUAAGCUUGUAGAGCCUGACCAGGGAUUCAGUAUGGACCGGAGUUCGAUUCUCCGCGCCUCCACCA
rnacentral:tmRNA from 1 species